GAUGGUGCAGCAAUUGAAUUACCUGUUGAUCACACGGUUGUUGGUCAAGAACGAUUACUUGAUCAAGUUUGGAGAUGUAUCACUGAUGAGGAAAAGAACAGGGGAAUUAUCGGCUUGUAUGGUAUAGGGGGAGUCGGCAAAACUACCCUUUUAAAACAAGUCAACAACAACUUCUGCCAUCAACGGCAUAUUUUUGAUGUUGUUAUCUGGGCGGCUGUGUCAACACUUCAAGAUGACAUUGGAAAAAGGAUUGGCUUUUCAGAAGCCAAGUACUGGAAGGAAAAAAGUCUUCAAGCUAAGGCUGUGGACAUCGCUGGCAUUUUAUGCCGAAAGAAGUUUGUGUUGUUAUUGGAUGAUAUAGGGGAACGGAUUGAUUUAACACAAUUGGGUGUCCCUCUUCAAAAACUAAAAGAUGGGUCCAAAGUAGUCUUGACAACUCGUUCAGCUGGUGUUUGCGAUCAAAUGGACGCUGAAAAGGUGGAAGUGUAUAGUUUGGCGCAUGAUAAAGCCUGGGAAUUAUUUCAGGAGAUGGUCGAAAGAUCCACUCUUGACAGUCAUACCAGUAUUCCAGAGCUAGCCGAAGCCUUGGCAAGAGAGUGUGGUGGGUUGCCGCUAGCGCUUAAAACAGUGGGUCGAGCCAUGAAAAGCCAAAGGAGAGUUGGAGAUUGGAAACGUGCAAUUAACAAAAUGAGAACAUCAGCUUCUAAAUUCUCAGGUAUGAAAGAAGAGGUGUUUUCGCGUUUAAAGUUCAGCUAUGAUAGUUUGUCUACGGAUGAACUUCGUUCCUGUCUCCUGUAUUGUUGUUUAUACCCUGAAGACUACAAAAUUCCUAAAAGGGAAUUGAUUGAUUAUUGGAUUAGUGAAGAAUUUGUGUGUGAUUUUGAUGGUGGAUGCGAUUUUAUUGAUGACCUUCUUCAUGCAUGCUUAUUGGAGGAAGAAGGCGAUGAUCAUGUAAAGAUGCACGAUAUGAUUCGUGAGAUGUCAUUAUGGAUAGCGUGCACGGUAGACAAGGAGGAGCAGAACUUUCUGGUUCGCGCUGGAGUUGAAUUGACCGAAGCACCAAAGUUUGAAGAAUGGCAAGGUGCCAAACGGGUAUCUCUGAUGGGAAAUGGAAUUAGGAGCUCAUCGGAAAUUCCCACGUGUCCGCGCCUCGUAACUUUACUUCUUUCAAUCGAUGUCUUCUCUUAGAGUAUUAAGUCUAAGAGGAAAUUUUCCCCUAAGAACACUACCUUCAGGGAUUUCAGGUUUGGUUUCAUUACAUCAUCUUGAUCUAUCAUCGACUAACAUAACUGGGUUGCCGCAAGAGCUGAAGGCGUUGGAGAAGUUGAGAUAUUUGAACUUGGACUAUACACGGUUUUUGUCUAUAAUUCCACAUCAAUUGAUAUCUGGUUUUUCAAAGUUGGAGGUACUCAGGUUGCUUUCACGCGGUCGCUGGAGCGUAAUAGAAGGUAACGUUCUAUGUGAUGAUGCUGAACCUUUGAUGAAGGAAUUGCUGGGUUUGAAGCAUUUAAAUGUUUUAAGCUGGACCUUCCGAAGUUCACUUGCUGUCCAAAAGUUUUUGAAAUAUCCAAAGCUGGUGAGCAUCACUCAAUCUGUAAUGGUUUGCCAAUGUGAAAGUCCACCGUUCAAUGUCUUACAUCUAGCAUACAUGGAGAAUCUUCAGGAGUUACGCAUUUCAGACAGUAAUUUGGAAGAGAUGAAGACUGACAGCACAGAAGAGGUAAAGAAACUUUUUCAAAGUGGUUUCCGCAGUCUCGACAGAGUUGUCAUAUGGAGUUGCCAAAAAAUGAAAGACUUAACGUGGCUAGUUUUUGUUCAAAUUCUCAAGCAGCUGCGUAUAGUCUUUUGUACAGAAAUGGAAGAAAUAAUUAGUGUUGAUAAAUUGAGAGAUAUUUCGAAGAUAAUCGGGUCAGAGCAUAACUUUUUUGCACAACUCGAAUCUCUAACCAUAAAGUGGGGAAGAAAUUUAAAGAGCGUUUACCCGAAUCCCCUGCCCUUUCCAAAGCUGAAGAAAAUUGAAGUACGUGAAUGCCCACAGCUGAAGAAGCUCCCACUCAAUUCCAGCAGCGCGAAGGAACGUCGAGUUGUCAUCGAGGGGUCGAAAAAAUGGUGGGAAGAGCUACAAUGGGAGGACCAAGCCACCCAAAAUGCUUUCUCUUCCGGUGUCGUACUUGGGGAUGAUUUUCAUUAAUAUGUUUGAAUAUGUAUUUCUUUUCUUUUUCUUUUUUUUUUUAAUUUUCAUUAGAUUUAAUUGCAUCUUGUUGUUGUUGUCUGGUGUGUCAAUCGUUAUCUAUUUUCAGUUAAUAAAAUUUCAGCAGUGGAUUCUUGGUUUUAGAAUCCUCCCACUGGAAAGAAUUUCUCCUUUGGCUUGAAUGCGACCUUUUUACUCGUCGACAAAAUUGUAUUUGUCGCUUAAGUCUUGUUUGUUUUAAAAUGCUGGCAUAUUUAUAGAGUGGGAACUCAGAUGCUGAACUCAUAGUAAAUAUUUAUUUAAUUUGUUAUAAUUAUAUUUGGUGAGAUAUUUAUUCAAUAAUUGCCCUAUCACUUUGUGCAUGAUCACAGAAUUUUGUACUUCCGUCUGUGAAAUAACUUUUGGAAAAGGAAAUUAAUUUUUUUAAGUAACGGUAAAUAUUUUAAAUUUUUAUUUUAAAUUUUAUUUUAAAUAAUAUAGUAUGUAAUGUGUCAUUUAUUUAGUGAUUGAUAAUUUAAUAUAGGAUUUAAAUAAAUUAAUUAUGCUAUUUUAUUAUUUAAUUAAUAAAUAUUAUAUAAUUUAAAAUAGAUUUUUGAGAUAAAAAUUAUAAAAGUAAAAUUCUACUCAACAGACUAAAUUUAAAAUGAUGUGAUUGGCAGGUAAGACUUAAGAAUUAGACAAAAUUUCUCAUUCAACAGCUUGUAGAAAAUUUAUACACUAGGCCUUAGCUAAACUUGGACUUGUCGUAUGUUUGAAGUAUUCGACGAUAAUCAUAUCUGCAUUUUUAUUUUAUUUUUUAUUUUUGGUUUGUUUAGGGCUUUUCAUCGGUUUUCGUCUUGGUCUUUGUCCUGGUCUUGGCGUCUUGCUAUCAAAUCAAGUGUUCUCUUCUCCUAUCCUCUAAUGAAAGUGCAGGGCCUCAACUAUUUGUUACUGCUAUCACUUUAGAGGUUGAUGCUAAUGUCCGAAGGUCACGUUUAAUUUGCUUGAAUGUGACCUUUACUUUGGUUGACAAAAUUGUGAUUGUCACAAAGAACAAACUAUAAAAGUGCAGUUUAAAUCGAACACUGAAUUCCCUAUGGAAAUUUUCGCACCCGUAUAUAUAUUCUACAUUAUUUGGUUGCAAAGACUAUAAUUAACAAGAAGCUAAUAUAUAUAGUAGAGAGAGAAAUAACAAGUUCAAUGUUGGUAAAAUUUUAUCUUCCCUUCACUGCUCUCCUUUGCUGCAAUCAAGUGGCCUCACUUACAAAUUUUGACUUUUAAUUAUUUCAAUUAACACAAGAAAAAAAGGGCAAUAUAGUUUACAUUACUCUAUCAGCCUUAUAUAAAGGGUAUAAAUAUGAGAGUGCGUUUGGAAUUGAAGUCGGACACUUGUCGCUUAAAAGCUACAGUAGCAAAGUGUUUGGUAAAUACUAAUUGUUGUGUCUUGAAAGAUAUGUUGAUAUGAUUUUUCACUUGUAUAAUAGAGAAUUUAUUAUUUUAUUAUUAAUAAUUUCGUUAAAAUUAUUAUUUAAAAUUUAUAUUUAUUAAAUAUUAUUAACUUUUGUUUUAUAGUUACAAUUUUUUUUUUUUACAGCAACUGUACCUUAAAAGUUAUAACACUUCAAUUCCAAACGUACCUUAAGUCUGUAAGGCAUAAGUUUUCACUCUUCGGGAAUCUAAGGAGAUUAGGGCAAGAGCUGCACAUUUGUAGUCUCAAAUUCAUUUGACAUCAGCCAAUUUAAUGUCUAUGGACGGGUAUAAAGGACGUCACAGACGGUUAAAGAACAAGGUGUUUGAUGGAAAUGUCAAGAAGUUCGAUGAAAUGUCUCACCUACACAACCAAGCCACUUAACAUUGCAGUCUUAUAAUACAAUUCCUACCUUCUCUUCCAUUUUCACCAACAUAAUUCUUUCUUUCUCACUUUAUUUUCUUCCUUGAAAUUUUUGUUAACAAAAAUGGGUAACAUCAUUCUCAUGCGUGCUUCUUAUCACCAGACUCAAUUCUUGCAGUUUUAUUUUAUUUUAUUUUUCCUUCGUGGAGAUGCUAAAAUAUAUAUGAGAUCUAAAAAGCUAAUCUUGAUGAGUUGCAGAAUCCAAUGCAGAAUUUGAAAGUUACAAAAGAUUAUAAAUACUAUUUUAACUUGUAAGCUUCCAUUGCUAUACAGUGAGGUAUGUCUAGAUAUCAUUUUGGUCUUUUAUAUAUUGGGUUCCAGUGAAAGACUUUUGUUCUAGUUGAAUUUAAUUUUGUCUUUGUAUUUACAGACAAAAUAUUAGGGACAUUUAUCAUACAUAUUUGGCUAGUUCGCCGUGGAAAAAUAAUAAUAGUUGAAAAGACAUAGGGUACUUUUUAUUUUCCUUUAUAUUACUAAUAGAUUUCCCACGCGCAACAGACGAAGUCAUUGCUGCUUCAAUAAUUGCCCUAUCACUGUGUUCAUCAUCACAAAUUUCUUUAUUACGUUUGUGAAAUAACCAUUGCAUAAAAAAAUUACUCCAACUUUUUAACUAAUAAUAGAUAUCUCAAAUUUUAUUUUCAGAAUAUGGUAUGUAAUGUAAGCGAUCGAUAGUUCUUUAUAAAAUAUAUAAAUAAAUUAAUAGUGUUAUCUUAGUGUCUAAUAUAUAUAAAUGACUUUCUCCAUAUAUUGCACUAUUGAUAUGGGCUAAAGUUUUAUACUAUGAGACCCAAUUUCUAUAAUUUACACUAUAAGUUAAAAGUAUUUAGAAAAAUACUAUUGCAAAUCAAAAGGUAUUAUCUAUUUUAUACCUAAAGCAUUUUCACUAUUUAAGACUAGUAAAAUUUCUAUAUUAUUAUAAUAUUAGAAUCAAACACCAAUAAGCGAGUAAAUCAGGUGGAAUAAGAAUGUUCUAACUUAACCAAGGUCCUCGGUUUGAAACUUAGAAAUGCAACUACAUUAAAUACUUAUUGGGAGAGAUUUGCCGCUUUAGUGGUUCUAUCCGGCUCGAAUCUAGAUUAGUCGGGGAUCUAAUGUGGUCUUUGGAUACUAGAUGAUUUAAUAUACCGAUAAUAUUGGAACCAAACUCAUUUACAAUUAUGAAGAGGUUAUAAUUUAAUAGAGGCAUAGUAACAAACUAUUAAUAGAGAGUAUAAAAUUUAAUGUAUAAACAAAAUUCUAUAAUUUACACUAUAAGUUGCAAGUAUUUAGGUCAAUACUAUUGCAAAUCAGAAGAUAUUAUAUAUUUUAUGCCGAAAAUAUUUCCACUAUUUAAGGCUAGUAAAACUUCUAUAUAAUUAUAAUAUUGGAACCAAACACCAACAAGCGAGUAAAUCAACUAGAAUGGAAAUGUUCUAACGUCAAGGUCCUCGGUUCAAAACUUAGAAAUGCAACUACAUUAAAUAUUUAUUGGGAGAGAUUUGCCGCUCUAGUAGUUCUAUCCGGGUCGAAUCUGGAUUAGUCGGGAAUCUAAUGUGGUCUUUGGAUACUAGAUGAUUUAAUGUACCAAUAAUAUUGGAACCAAACUAAUUUACAAUUAUGAGGAGGUUAUAAUUUAAUAGAGGCGUAGUAACAAACUAUUAAUAGAGCGUAUCAAAUUUAAUAUUGGAAUCCGAUGAUUGGUUGCAACAUAAGAUAUUUGUAAGCUUAGUUAAAGGUUCAUUAAAAAUUAUAGAGAUAUAUAAUUUCGCAGUCGACGAAGCCAUGCAUGAGGUUAAGGCAAGUGAUGGAAUGACUUGCGUUACAAAAGAGGUAUGUGAAGUUGCACUAUAAAAAUAAAAUAAAUUUGUAUUUUCAAGUAGUGAAGGUGUAGUUAGUUUAUUUGCGGUAGCAGUUUCACAGCUGACAGAUGAACAAAGAGUGGCUGCUUGUCAAAUGGGCUUUGGUAGUUUGCUACAAUUGAACCGUGGCAAGCUAAAAAGGAAACUUUGUGGCUAGUUAAUUGAGAUGAUUGAUACUUUGAGGUACAUUUUAGAGUUGAAUGGUAUUAGCUUUCAAACAAGAUCAUCAAAGAAACUCUACCAACUAGGAAAUUUAAACUUAAUCUAUGCUCCGCAAAUUCGAAUAUUCUCUAAUAUGAAACUACUUUUAUGUGUUUUAUUAUUCCUAGCUUUUACCGACUUGGUAACGUUGUUAUGGAAGCACGACAACUAUUAUGUCCGUGUAAUUUUUAUUGUAUCUUUUGUUAUGUCAUGAUAUCGAAGCUUAGUUUUAUGACUCUAACUACUAAGAACUGCAAUUGCAGCAUCUUUUGAAUAUUACAUAUGUGCUUGUAGUAUCUCGACGGAUUAAAACCUGCUAUUUAAGUUCUUCUACCCCUCCCCCCCUUCAUUCUUUCAUUUAUACUUGCUGCACUAUUUACUUCGCACUCUGUAAAGCCAGAUGAAAGCUUGUUCAUUUAUGUUCACUUGCAAUUCAAAAGCACAGUUUAUUUCAACUGUCAAAUUGACAACUUGCACGUAUAGAUUUCAGUCGAAACAAGGUUAUUGGUCGAUCAAGAAAUUGAAUCCAUAUGGCCGUUCCAGCGUUAUUCAACUACCUAAUAUCAAAUAUAUAAAUUAAUUCAACCCACUUCUGUGUCAAAGGCAUGGAACAAAUUAUGAAAGAUUUUUCAGCUAUCAUAAAUUCGAACGAGUGUAGUUUGUAUCCUUUCGAACUUAGACAGAUUUUCCUUCCAUUAACCUUACAGUGUUAGUAAUCCUAUUACUUGUUUUUAAAGCUUGAAUAGUAUACCGAAAUUUUUGGUUUUUGCAACAUAAACUUGUAUGUAAUGUACAUUUUAUAGUUCUUUACAAAUUAAUUGCUGCUAAAAUAAUUGUUUCGACUACUAUAUUUAUUGUUAUAAUAGAUAAACAUUUUCUUGCAACUCAAACAGUUCCAAUGGCAUGAUCUGCAUCCCCCGUUUGCCUCUUGGGCUACGAACCUGCUUAACAGCUGCACCAUCUUGCUCCUUUUCAUCAAACGGCAACUUCGCUGCAGACAAAAAGAGGGGGUACACUGCCCAGGGGCACCAUAAACGCAGCCCAAAAAGAUGAUUUUGUCUUUCCAUGUCUUAGUAUUUUAACCAAAAAUAAUAAUAAUAAUUCUUUACAUCAUCAAUGAUUGCACUUGUAAGCCAGGCAAUAGUUUUUUUAUUAAAUAAAAAAUUAAUGUUAAAUUUUUUUUUUUUUUUUUUUUUUUUUAUCUAGCUAUCAUUGACUUAAUAUUUUGAAUCUUCAUCCAAAGUUAAGGCACAAAACUUUUAUUCUAAAUAAAUAUUCUCAAUAUAAAUUUAUCACUUAAAUAAUAAAUAAUAAGAUUUAACAUUAAUUCUGUCGUUACUGAAAUGAAUUGUAAAUUUUAUAUGACGUGUAAACGUAUCAUUAUGUUCUUGAUAUUUGACAUAUGAAUUAUAAAGCAACAAAUGUAUCAUAUUUUAUUUCGGUAUUGUGCUUCUCCAUAUUUGCUUAAUUCUUUUCGUUGUACUCAUUGCUUCUCUUCCUCUUUUCGUCAACGACAAUGGGUAACCUAAUCUCAACCUUCUUACCAGCAGACUUAUUUGAUCGAAUUUCAAACUGCGUUGGUGAACAAGCAAAAUAUGUAUGGGGUCUCGAAAAAAAUCUUCGGAUCUUGGAGACUGAAUUGCACAAAUUGACUCGAGCAAGGGCCGAUCUGAAGACCAGGGUUGAGGUCGAACAACAACGACCUCGAACCAGACGAACGAACCAGGUCGCAGGGUGGCUUGAAGAUGUGCAAAAUCUGGAAACUGAAUUUGCCGAGCUGGAACGAGUCAGAGCUCAAGAAAUGGAUAGAUUGUGCCUUGGAGGCCUCUGUUCCAAAAACUUCGUUUUAAGCUACAAUUACGGGACUAAGGUGGUCGAGUUGACGGAUCGAGUGAUCAAUUUAAAGAAAGACGGAGAAAAAAUUGAAGUCGUUGUUGAGAAGGCGCCGGAUGGUGCAGCAAUUGAAUUACCUCUUGAUCACACAGUUGUUGGUCAAGAACUAUUACUUGGUCAAGUUUGGAGAUGUAUCACUGAUCAGGAAAAGAACAGGGGAAUUAUCGGCUUGUAUGGUAUAGGGGGAGUCGGCAAAACUACCCUUUUAAAACAAGUCAACAACAACUUCUGCCAUCAACAGCAUAAUUUUGAUGUUGUUAUCUGGGCGGCUGUGUCAACACUUCAAGAUGACAUUGGAAAAAGGAUUGGCUUUUCAGAAGACAGAAACUGGAAGGAAAAAAGUCUUCAAGACAAGGCUGUGGACAUCGCUAGCAUUCUAAGCGGAAAGAAGUUUGUGUUGUUAUUAGAUGAUAUAUGGGAGCCCAUUGAUUUAACACAGCUGGGUGUCCCUCUUCAAAAUCUAAAUGAUGGGUCCAAAAUAGUCUUGACAACUCGUUCAGCUGGGGUUUGCGAUCAAAUGGACGCUGAAAAGGUGGAAGUGUCUAGUUUGGCACAUGAUGAAGCCUGGAAAUUAUUUCAGGAGAUGAUCGAAAGAUCCACUCUUGACAGUCAUACCAGUAUUCCAGGGCUAGCCGAAACCCUGGCAAGAGAGUGUGGUGGGUUGCCGCUAGCGCUUAAAACAGUGGGUCGAGCCAUGAAAAGCCAAAGGAAAGUUGGAGAUUGGAAACGUGCAAUUCACAAAAUGACAACAUCAGCUUCUAAAUUCUCAGGUAUGAAAGAAGAGGUGUUUUCGCGUUUAAAGUUCAGCUAUGAUAGUUUGUCUACGGAUGAACUUCGUUCCUGUCUCCUGUAUUGCUGUUUGUAUCCUGAAGACUACGAAAUUCCUAAAAGGCAAUUGAUUGAUUAUUGGAUUAGUGAAGGAUUUGCGUGUGAUUUUGAUGAUGGAUGCGAUUUUAUUGAUGACCUUCUUCAUGCAUGCUUAUUGGAGGAAGAAGGCGAUGAUCAUGUAAAGACGCACGAUAUGAUUCGUGAGAUGUCAUUAUGGAUAGCGUGCACGGUAGACAAGGAGGAGCAGAACUUUCUGGUUCGCGCUGGAGUUGAAUUGACCGAAGCACCAAAGGUUGAAGAAUGGGAAGGUGCCAAACGGGUAUCUCUGAUGGAAAAUAAAAUUGAAAGCCUAUCGGAAAUUCCCACGUGUCCGCGUCUCGUAACUUUACUGCUGGAUGAAAAUCGGAUUGAGGAGAUCACUGAUGGCUUCUUUCAAUCUAUGUCGUCUCUUAGAGUAUUAAGUCUAAGAGGAAAUUUUCCCCUAAGUACACUACCUUCGGGGAUUUCAGGUUUGGUUUCAUUGCAUCAUCUUGAUCUAUCAUCGACUCACAUAACUGGGUUGCCGCAAGAGCUGAAGGCGUUGGAGAAGUUGAGAUAUUUGAACUUGGACUAUACAGAGUACUUGUCCAUAAUUCCACAUCAAUUGAUAUCUGGCUUUUCAAAGUUGGAGGAACUCAGGUUGUUUGCGUCCGGUCGCUGGGGCGUAAUAGAGGAAGAAGAAGGUAACGUUCUAUGUGAUGAUGCUGAACCUUUGAUGAAGGAAUUGCUGGGUUUGAAGCAUUUAAAUGUUUUAAGCUGGUCCUUCCGAAGUUCACUUGCUGUCCAAAAGUUUUUGAAAUAUCCAAAGCUGGUUAGCAUCACUCAAUCUGUAUGGGUUGAAUGUGGCAUGUAUACAAGGCCACCGUUCAAUGUCUUACAUCUAGCAUAUAUGGAGAAUCUUCAGGAGUUGCGUCUUUCUCAGAGUGAUUUGGAGGAGAUGAAGAUUGACAGCACAGAAGAGGUGAAGAAGCUUUUUCAAAGUGGUUUCCGCAGUCUCGACACAGUUGAUCUAUUUUAUUGCCAAAAAGCGAAGGACUUAACGUGGCUUGUUUUUGUUCAAAACCUCAAGGAGCUGCGUAUAGUGUAUUGUGAAUACGUGGAAGAAAUUAUCGGGGCUGAUAAAUUGAGAGAUAUUUCAGAGAUAGUGGGGUCAGAGCAUAACGUUUUCGCAGAACUCGAAUUUCUAUCCUUAUGGGGGGGAAUAAAUUUAAAGAGCGUUUACCCGAAUCCCCUGCCCUUUCCAAAGUUGAAGAAAAUUCAAGUACUUCAUUGCCGACAGCUGAAGAAGCUCCCACUCAAUUCCAGCAGCGCGAAGUUACGUCGAGCUGUCAUCGAGGGAACGAAAAAGUGGUGGGAAGAGCUACAAUGGGAGGAUCAAGCCACCCAAAAUGCUUUCUCUUCCGGUGCCGUACUUACUGAGUUUCCUUUUUAUUAAUAUGUUUUAAUAUGUAUUUCUUUUUCUUUUCUUUUUUUAAUUUUCAUUAGAUUUAAUUGCAUCUUGUUCUUGUUGUCUGGUGUGUCAAUCGUUCCCUACUUUCAGUUAAUAAAAUUUCAGCAGUGGAUUCUUGGUUUAUUAAUGUUUAUAUAACUGAAUUGUUCAGCAGAUGUACUCUGCACGACUAACACAGAAAUAAACACAGAAAUAAAUAUAUGUAAGGGGUUACAGGACUGACUCUGCUUCUGGCUUCUAAGGAGAAAGAGGGGAAAAUAAACAUUUUAUCUUCCCUUAACUGCUCUCCUUUGGUUUGAAUGUGAACUUAACACUCUUUUAUUAUUAAAAUUUAAUUAUUUGGUUGUAUAAUAUAUUUCUCCAAUAAACGAAGAAUGAUAAAGGAGCAACUAAAAAAACCCAUCAAAAUAUUUCACCAAUGAAAAGAUUCAUGAGAAAUAAACAUUAUAAUCCGAACAAAUAAAUCAAUUAGUCAAUAUAUCAUUUAGCCGAAUUAAAGACGCUGCUUGCGCUUCGUAGUUCUGAGCUUAGAAUCAAGUAGAGAACUGAAUAUGAAAUUUUUAAUUGCUGAGAAUAUGAAUUUGAGGUUGAUGGACGACUUGAAAGAGAGGGACAAGAAAGAAUGAUACAGAGCAGGUGGCUGGCAAAAGGGACCUUAUGACGAUCUUCUUCAGUACAGCUAUGAUGCCGCUUCCACCUUCAAUUGAAUGUCAGAAAAUUCAAAGUUUGUCAAAAGAGGAUGGUAAAUUAAGCUGUUUUUUUUUUUUCUUUUUUGCAAAAUUUACCAAGUGAAUUAAUCCAUUAUUUUAUCUAUCAAUCAGUACACAAUCUACAUUACCCCACGCUAACAAAACACUGACUAUAAAUCUAUGACUAUACAAUGCGCACUUUGGUUACUGCCCCAGCCCUCUUACCCAAAAGAACCACAAAAGCAACGAAAAACUAAAUUGAUUACAUAAUCAAAUCAAGUUCUUCUUAGCUACUGUGAUCGAUUUGUCCAGCACCAUCAGUUAAUUUCUCUAGUUUUCAGCAAAAAUGGUCGAGUUCUUGAGUCUUCUUUGCACGUUUCAUCUCAUUUAUUCUGUCGAUAAAGCUUAUACACAUCAUCCGCAACGACAACAAAUUAAAUUAAUAUGUGUCGAGUUUUGGAGCCAGAGCCAGCGGUGCAAGCGCAAGAGAAAGGGACUUCACACAAGAAUUUGCCAGACCAUGGGCUACAGAAAGGUGCCUCACUUCACGGACGCGGAAUUUGGUUGGCUCCUGGGCCAUUAAGGGUGAAUGCAUCUUUCUUUUUAUGUGAAUUUAAUUAUUGAACCCGGUAUCUUGAAUAAAUAUAAAUUUGACUGUAGCACCAAGUAUCAAUGAUUGCAAAAUGUAAAUUUGACAUAUUGUGUGGUUAAAUCAUCUUGUACUAAUCGUUUAUGUUAAUUUAUGGAGGCCUUAAUGUCCAAGGCAUACGUAAAGGGGUACAGGACUGACUCUGCUUCUGGCUUCUAAGGAGAAUGAGGGGAAAAUUUUAUAAACAUUUGUGGAGUGGCCGUAUAAAGGACGUGUGGUUCUCAAUCCAUUUCACAUUUGGCAUUGUAAUGUUUAUGGACUCAUAUAAAUGAUGUCACACAAAUAGUUAAACGAAGAAGGUGUUUGAUGAAAACGAAAGGGCCUUUUUCUUUUUUUAAAUCCCGCUAAAGGUUAUAAUUAACAACAAAUUAAUAAUAGAAGAGAGAGAAAUACCAAGUUCAAUACGGUAAUAUUUUAUCUUCCUUUUAACUGCUCUCCUUUGGCUUAUAAUGCGACCUUUACACUCGUGGACAAAAUUGUAUUUGUCGCUUAAGUCUUGCUUGUUUUAAAAUGCUGGCAUAUUUAUGGAGUGGGAACCCAGAUGCUGAACUCAUAGUAAAUAUUUAUUUAAUUUGUUAGAAUUAUUUUUGGUGGGAUAAUUUUAAAUAUUAAUUUAACAAGAUAGUGAUGUUUGCCUUGCCCUACAUGGAAAAAAUAAUAAUAAUUAAAGUUUUUUCUGUUCCUUUAUAUUAGUAAUAGAUUUCAGAUGGGAAACAGAAAAUUUAUUUCUGUUUCAAUAAUUACCAUAUCACUGUGUGCGUGCGUGAUCACAUAAUUUUGUACUACCGUCUGUGGAAUAACUUUAGGAAAAGAAAAUUAAUUUUUUUUAAGUAACAAUAAAUAUUUUAAAUUGUUUUCUUCUCUUAUCAAUUGUUUUUUUCUCCUAUCUUCCAAUGAAAGUGCAGGACCUCAAUUAUUUUAAUAGAGAUGUAGUAAUAAAUUAUUAGGGGAUCCAUAAAAUAAAUAUACAUGGUUUCAAAAAAGUUAGCACAUGCUUGUUACAAAUAUAAAAAAUUAUCUUAAAAGUCUCGGAACUUUUGUGUUCUCUUUAAUAUUUUUUUCUUAUGUUGUUAUUGUACUAUAUGGAUACAAGGGUGCGUUUGGUACGUUGUAUUAUAUUAUGUUGUAUUGCAUUAUUUUAAUAUAGGUAUAUUACAUUAUGUUGUGUUGUAUUAGUAAUGUAUUAUAAUAAUGUUGUACAAUGUUUGGUACUAUACUGUAUUGUAUUAAUUUUUAAUUAAUAUUAUUCAAAUGUAUUCAUAUUUAAAUAUUUAUUAUUAGUUAUAUUAAAUUAUUUAAAAAUAACUAGUUUAAUUAUUUUAAUAUAAUUAAAUAAUAUUAUAAUAUAUUAUAUUAUUUAAGUAUUUAUUAUUAGUUAUAUUAACUUAUUAAAAAUUAAUCAAUUAUAUAUAUUAAUUAAUAUAAUUUUACAUAUUAAUUAAUAUAAUAUAAUUAAAUAAUACAUUUUUUAGUUGUACAUUUACUAUAAUAAAAAUUAAAAUAUAAUAUAAUAUUAAAUUAAAAAUUAUAUUCAUUUAUUAUUAUUACAAAGUAUAAAAAAAAAAAAAAAAGGAAGCUAAAGCUAAUGCGGUAACUGGACACAUUAGCUAAACCCGACUAUAACAUAUGUCGGGUUUAGCUAAUACAACCAUUUGGUACCUCAGACAUGGUGCUGCAUUGCUAAUGCAAUGUAAUCCCAGGUAAAGAGGGGUACCAGACAACCCCCAAGUUCACUUAAUGUAACAUAACAUACUUUUUUUUUCUAUAUAUAUAUAUACACUACGUGGAAGUGAGCUCCUUAAGGUGAGAUUUAGCAAAAUUAUAAAUUAUUACAGCAUGAAAUUUAUUUUUAUUUAUAAUUGGCCUAAUAUAAAUUAGGACCAGUACUUUUAUAGCUAUAUGAAAUUAUUUUUAUAUAAAAUAUCACUACAUAAAUGUUUUAUUACAAUAUUAAUCUCUUUUUUUUAUUGUAUUUAUCUCUUCAUAAUCUUUUCCUUUUUAUAAAAAAAAAAAAUCAACUAAAAGAUUCAUCAACAUCUCAUUCCAACAAUCUACUAGCGAAAAUGAGUGUCCAUGCUUUUGAACCAAGGCCCGAUAUGUGAGGGAGAGAUUGUUGGGUUGUCUUACAUCGGUUGUGAACUAGGAUGGUGGUGAUUUUACAAGUGUGAGGGAAAGUCUCACCCCUUAUCCAUCUUUUGGGUUGGGAUUGAAUGAGACCCAAAACCGCUUAACAUGAAUUCUAUCACUGGGAUUUUUACCCAGUAUAACAAACAUAACAACACAAUGAAUUAUCAAUUUAUCACGUAAUGGCUCUAACUUUAGCGAUGAUCACCUUACAUGAACAUGAAAAUUAAUCCCAUUGUUUAACUCAACAAUGACGAUAAUCACUUAAACUCUUAUGCACCAAAGGAUAUACUCGCUACAGGGAAUCUUAACUCAUAAAGAUUAAUUUUAGUGGGGGGCAAAAGAGCACGAGUGAUCCAAACCACUAAACAACAUCAUAACCAACACAAAAUUUAUACUAAACAAACCAUUACCAAAACAGCAAAGCUAGACAUAAAUUUGAACAGAUACACAAGCUACAUUCAUUACCAUAAUGUAUCGACUAAAUUUCCAAGCUCUACAUUUUGAACAAAGAAUUUAUAAAAUUACAUAAUCUAAUAAAUUAAUAUAGAAAUAAAAUUGGCAUCAGAUCAAAUUACUAUUAAUGUACCUUGCAUAAACCAUUCUCUUCUAUCGGCAUUCACCUCCGCGCUCGAUUGGCUCUCCUGUGCUGCUUGUCUAAUUGAUUCAAAUCCACAUAGACAAAUUUAAGCAUAUUAAGUUUUCAAACUCAAAUCAACAGCUUUAAAAGUUACUUCACAAACAAUGAAUUUCAUUUUCGAAAUACAAAGAAUCCGUUCAGUUUAAAACAAUAAAAAAUCGUCUACGACUACUCAACUCAUGUAUGAUAACUAAAAAACGAAGGAUACCCACAAAAAUUAAAGAUAAAUUACCAAAAACCCAAAAAACUCAAGCCAAAAUUGCCAAAAAAAAAGCGAGAGAAUGGAAAUUGGCGUACCAGGGGCAGGAGAGAGGAAACGAGAAGAGGAAGAAAGAAGGGUUUUGGAGAGAGUGGGAAUUAGUGGAGGCAAAAAUGGAGAGUUUUGAGAGUGAGAUGAUUGGUGGGGUGGUGAUGGCGGUGGUGGGGUUAAUGUUCUGGAGGGUAUGCUGAAGAGAGGUCGCAAGAGAACCUCCAUAGCCUUUAAAGAGAGUUGAGUUGCUGCUUUCUUUUGCCGUGGAUGGAGAGAGAUUAAGGGAUUAGAAUUCUGUAUUGAAUUAAUUUUUUAUUAAAUAAAAAAUUAUUGUUAAAAUUUAUUUUAUUUUAAUUUUUUAUCUAGCUAUCAUUGACUUAAUAUUUUGAAUCUUUAUCCAAAGUUAAGGCACAAAAUUUUUAUUCUAAAUAAAUAUUCUCAAUAUAAAUAUAUCACUUAAAUAAUAAUGAUAAGAUUUAAUAUUAAUUCUGUCAUUACUGAAAGAAUUACAAAUUUUAUAUGACGUGCAAACGUAUCAUUAUAUUCUUGAUAUUUGAAACAUGAAUAAAGCAACAAAUGUAUCAUAUUUUUAUUUUGGUGUUGUGGUUCUCUAAAAAUUGUUGAAAGCAGCAGCUGUGAAGAGUCAACGGUUGACCUUGAUUCUGUGAGUUGGAUUUGUUGAGCUGGCAAAACUGUUAUGUUGAAGAAUAGCAGCGCAUGUGCAUUGAAUAGUUGCAUCUUCUAGAAGCUUAAUGUGAUUGGUUCACAAUUGCUAUAUUCACGGAUCAAUUUUGAUUACUUCCGUGUAAUACCCCUUAGGCUAGCUGUCAUUAUUUUUUGUCUCUGUAUGUAAACUAGCAAAGCUCUGUAUUUCAUUUUCAUUCAAGUCAUCAUUAUCAAUAAAGACCUGAUUCUCAUACUCUGUUUGCAUUUGACAGCAAUUCUUAAGAAUUUAAGUAAAAAUUAGCUUAAUUCUUUUCAUUGUACUCGUUGCUUCUCUUCCUCUUUUCGCCAACGACAAUGGGUAACCUAAUCUCAACCUUCUUACCAGCAGACUUAUUUGAUCGAACUUCAAACUGCGUUGGUGAACAAGCAAAUUAUGUAUGGGGUCUCGAAAAAAACCUUCGGGUCUUGGAGACUGAAUUGCACAAAUUGACUCGAGCAAGGGACGAUCUGAAGACCAAGGUUGAGGUCGAAGAACAGCGACGUCGAACCAGACGAACGAACCAGGUCGCAGGGUGGCUUGAAGAUGUGCAAAAACUGGAAACUGAAUUUACCGAGCUGGAACGAGUUAGAGCUCAUGAAAUCGAUAGAUUGUGCCUUGGAGGCCUCUGUUCCAAAAACUUCGUUUCAAGCUACAAUUACGGGACUCAGGUGGUCGAGUUGACGGAUCGAGUGAUCAAUUUAAAGAAAGACGGAGAAAAAAUUGAAGUCGUUGUUGAGAAGGCGCCAGAUGGUGCAGCAAUUGAAUUACCUCUUGAUCACACAGUUGUUGGUCAAGAACUAUUACUUGAUCAAGUUUGGAGAUGUAUCACUGAUCAGGAAAAUAAUAGGGAAAUUAUCGGCCUGUAUGGUAUCGGGGGAGCCGGCAAAACUACCCUUUUAAAACAAGUCAACAACAACUUCUGCCAUCAACAGCAUAAUUUUGAUGUUGUUAUCUGGGCGGCUGCGUCAACACUUCAAGAUGACAUUGGAAAAAGGAUUGGCUUUUCAGAAGACCAAAGCUGGGAGAAAAAAAGUCCUCAAGACAAGGCUGUGGACAUCGCUAGCAUUUUAAGCAGAAGGAAGUUUGUGUUGUUAUUGGAUGAUAUAUGGAAACCCAUUCAUUUAACAGAAUUGGGUGUCCCUCUUCAAAAACUAAAUGAUGGGUCCAAAGUAGUCUUGACAACUCGUUCAGCUGGUGUUUGCGAUCAAAUGGACGCUGAAAAGGUGGAAGUGUAUAGUUUGGCGCAUGAUAAAGCCUGGGAAUUAUUUCAGGAGAUGGUCGACAGAUCCACUCUUGACAGUCAUACCGGUAUUCCAGAGCUAGCCGAAACCUUGGCAAGAGAGUGUGGUGGGUUGCCGCUAGCGCUUAAAACAGUGGGUCGAGCCAUGAAAAGCCAAAGGAAAGUUGGAGAUUGGAAACGUGCAAUUCACAAAAUGAGAACAUCAGCUUCUAAAUUCUCAGGUAUGAAAGAAGAGGUGUUUUCGCGUUUAAAGUUCAGCUAUGAUAGUUUGUCUACGGAUGAACUUCGUUCCUGUCUCCUGUAUUGUUGUUUAUAUCCUGAAGACUACGAAAUUCCUAAAAGGGAAUUGAUUGAUUAUUGGAUUAGUGAAGGAUUUGUAUAUGAUUUUGAUGAUGGAUGUGAUUUUAUUGAUGACCUUCUUCAAGCAUGCUUAUUGGAGGAAGAAGGCGAUGAUCAUGUAAAGAUGCACGAUAUGAUUCGUGAGAUGUCAUUAUGGAUAGCGUGCACGGUAGACAAGGAGGAGGAGAACUUUCUGGUUCGCGCUGGAGUUGAAUUGACCGAAGCACCAAAGUUUGAAGAAUGGGAAGGUGCCAAACGGGUAUCUCUGAUGGGAAAUGGAAUUAGGAGCUUAUCGGAAAUUCCCACGUGUCCGCGCCUCUUAACUUUACUUCUGGGUGGAAAUCGGAUUGAGGAGAUUACUGAUGGCUUCUUUCAAUCGAUGUCUUCUCUUAGAGUAUUAAGUCUAAGAGGAAAUUUUCCCCUAAGAACACUACCUUCAGGGAUUUCAGGUUUGGUUUCAUUACAUCAUCUUGAUCUAUCAUCGACUAACAUAACUGGGUUGCCGCAAGAGCUGAAGGCGUUGGAGAAGUUGAGAUAUUUGAACUUGGACUAUACACGGUUUUUGUCUAUAAUUCCACAUCAAUUGAUAUCUGGUUUUUCAAAGUUGGAGGUACUCAGGUUGCUUUCACGCGGUCGCUGGAGCGUAAUAGAAGGUAACGUUCUAUGUGAUGAUGCUGAACCUUUGAUGAAGGAAUUGCUGGGUUUGAAGCAUUUAAAUGUUUUAAGCUGGACCUUCCGAAGUUCACUUGCUGUCCAAAAGUUUUUGAAAUAUCCAAAGCUGGUGAGCAUCACUCAAUCUGUAAUGGUUUGCCAAUGUGAAAGUCCACCGUUCAAUGUCUUACAUCUAGCAUACAUGGAGAAUCUUCAGGAGUUACGCAUUUCAGACAGUAAUUUGGAAGAGAUGAAGACUGACAGCACAGAAGAGGUAAAGAAACUUUUUCAAAGUGGUUUCCGCAGUCUCGACAGAGUUGUCAUAUGGAGUUGCCAAAAAAUGAAAGACUUAACGUGGCUAGUUUUUGUUCAAAUUCUCAAGCAGCUGCGUAUAGUCUUUUGUACAGAAAUGGAAGAAAUAAUUAGUGUUGAUAAAUUGAGAGAUAUUUCGAAGAUAAUCGGGUCAGAGCAUAACUUUUUUGCACAACUCGAAUCUCUAACCAUAAAGUGGGGAAGAAAUUUAAAGAGCGUUUACCCGAAUCCCCUGCCCUUUCCAAAGCUGAAGAAAAUUGAAGUACGUGAAUGCCCACAGCUGAAGAAGCUCCCACUCAAUUCCAGCAGCGCGAAGGAACGUCGAGUUGUCAUCGAGGGGUCGAAAAAAUGGUGGGAAGAGCUACAAUGGGAGGACCAAGCCACCCAAAAUGCUUUCUCUUCCGGUGUCGUACUUGGGGAUGAUUUUCAUUAAUAUGUUUGAAUAUGUAUUUCUUUUCUUUUUCUUUUUUUUUUUAAUUUUCAUUAGAUUUAAUUGCAUCUUGUUGUUGUUGUCUGGUGUGUCAAUCGUUAUCUAUUUUCAGUUAAUAAAAUUUCAGCAGUGGAUUCUUGGUUUUAGAAUCCUCCCACUGGAAAGAAUUUCUCCUUUGGCUUGAAUGCGACCUUUUUACUCGUCGACAAAAUUGUAUUUGUCGCUUAAGUCUUGUUUGUUUUAAAAUGCUGGCAUAUUUAUAGAGUGGGAACUCAGAUGCUGAACUCAUAGUAAAUAUUUAUUUAAUUUGUUAUAAUUAUAUUUGGUGAGAUAUUUAUUCAAUAAUUGCCCUAUCACUUUGUGCAUGAUCACAGAAUUUUGUACUUCCGUCUGUGAAAUAACUUUUGGAAAAGGAAAUUAAUUUUUUUAAGUAACGGUAAAUAUUUUAAAUUUUUAUUUUAAAUUUUAUUUUAAAUAAUAUAGUAUGUAAUGUGUCAUUUAUUUAGUGAUUGAUAAUUUAAUAUAGGAUUUAAAUAAAUUAAUUAUGCUAUUUUAUUAUUUAAUUAAUAAAUAUUAUAUAAUUUAAAAUAGAUUUUUGAGAUAAAAAUUAUAAAAGUAAAAUUCUACUCAACAGACUAAAUUUAAAAUGAUGUGAUUGGCAGGUAAGACUUAAGAAUUAGACAAAAUUUCUCAUUCAACAGCUUGUAGAAAAUUUAUACACUAGGCCUUAGCUAAACUUGGACUUGUCGUAUGUUUGAAGUAUUCGACGAUAAUCAUAUCUGCAUUUUGUGAAAUAAUUAAGAUUUUUUAUUUUUGGUUUGUUUAGGGCUUUUCAUCGGUCUUCGUCUUGGUCUUUGUCCUGGUCUUGGCGUCUUGCUAUCAAAUCAAGUGUUCUCUUCUCCCAUCCUCUAAUGAAAGUGCAGGGCCUCAAUUAUUUGUGCUGAGCUGUUUGUUACUGCUAUCACUUUAGAGGUUGAUGCUAAUGUCCAAAGGUCACAUUUAAUUUGCUUGAAUGCGACCUUUAUUUUGGUUGACAAAGAUUAUUUGGUUGCAAAGAUUAUAAUUAACAACAAGCUAAUAUCUAUAUAGUAGAGAGAGAAAUAACAAAUUCAAUGUUGGUAAAAUUUUAUCUUCCCUUCACUGCUCUCCUUUGCUGCAAUCAAGCUACAGUUGUAAAGUGUUUGAUAAACACUAAUUGUUGUGUCUUGAAAGAUAUGUUGAUAUAAUUUUUCACUUGUAUAAUAGAGAAUCUAUUAUGUUAUUAUUAAUAAUUUCGUCAAAAUUAUUAUUUAAAAUUUUAUAUUUAAUAAAUAUUAUUAACUUUUGUUUUAUAGUUACAAUUUUUUUUUUUUUUACAACAACUGUUGCUUAAAAAUUAUAACACUUCAAUUCCAAACAUACCUUAAGUCUAUAAGGCAUAAGUUUUCACUCUUCAGAAAGGUGUUUGAUGGAAAUGUAAAGAAGUUCGAUGAAAUGUCUCACCUACACAACCAAGCCACUUAACAUUGCAGUCUUAUAAUACGAAUUCCUGCCUUCUCUUCCAUUUUCACAAACAUAAUUCUUUCUUUCUCACUUUAUUUUCUUCCUUGAAAUUUUUGUUAACAAAAAUGGGUAACAUCAUUCUCAUGCGUGCUUCUUAUCACCAGACUCAAUUCUUGCAGUUUUAUUUUAUUUUAUUUUAUUUUUCCUUCGUGGAGAUGCUAAAAUAUAUAUGAGAUCUAAAAAGCUAAUCUUGAUGAGUUGCAGAAUCCAAUGCAGAAUUUGAAAGUUACAAAAGAUUAUAAAUACUAUUUUAACUUGUAAGCUUCCAUUGCUAUACAGUGAGGUAUGUCUAGAUAUCAUUUUGGUCUUUUAUAUAUUGGGUUCCAGUGAAAGACUUUUGUUCUAGUUGAAUUUAAUUUUGUCUUUGUAUUUACAGACAAACUAUUAGGGACAUUUAUCAUACAUAUUUGGCUAGUUCGCCGUGGAAAAAUAAUAAUAGUUGAAAAGACAUAGGGUACUUUUUAUUUUCCUUUAUAUUACUAAUAGAUUUCCCACGCGCAACAGACGAAGUCAUUGCUGCUUCAAUAAUUGCCCUAUCACUGUGUUCAUCAUCACAAAUUUCUUUAUUACGUUUGUGAAAUAACCUUAGCAUAACAAAAUUACUCCUCCUUUUUAACUAAUAAUAGAUAUCUCAAAUUUUAUUUUCAGAAUAUGGUAUGUAAUGUAAGUGAUUGAUAGUUCUUUAUAAAAUAUAUAAAUAAAUUAAUAGUGUUUUCUUAGUGUCUAAUAUAUAUAAAUCACUUGCUCCAUAUAUUGCACUAUUGAUAUGGGCUAAAGUUUUAUACUAUGAGACCCAAUUUCUAUAAUUUACACUAUAAGUUACAAGUAUUUAGGAAAAUACUAUUGCAAAUCAGAAGGUAUUAUCUAUUUUAUACCUAAAGCAUUUCACUAUUUAAGACUAGUAAAACUUCUAUAUUAUUAUAAUAUUUGAAUCAAACACCAAUAAGCGAGUAAAUCAGGUGGAAUGAGAAUGUUCUAACUUAACCAAGGUCCUCGGUUUGAAACUUAGAAAUGCAACUACAUUAAAUACUUAUUGGGAGAGAUUUGCCGCUUUAGUGGUCCUAUCCCGCUUGAAUCUAGAUUAGUCGGGGAUCUAAUGUGGUCUUUGGAUACUAGAUGAUUUAAAAUACCGAUAAUAUUGGAACCAAACUAAUUUACAAUUAUGAAGAUGUUAUAAUUUAAUAGAGGCAUAGUAACAAACUAUUAAUAGAGCGUAUAAAAUUUAAUGUAUAAACAAAAUUCUAUAAUUUACACUAUAAGUUGCAAGUAUUUAGGUCAAUACUAUUGCAAAUCAGAAGAUAUUAUCUAUUUUAUGCCGAAAAUAUUUCCACUAUUUAAGGAUAGUAAAACUUCUAUAUAAUUAUAAUAUUGGAACCAAACACCAACAAGCGAGUAAAUCAACUAGAAUGGAAAUGUUCUAACGUCAAGGUCCUCGGUUCAAAACUUAGAAAUGCAACUACAUUAAAUAUUUAUUGGGAGAGAUUUGCCGCUCUAGUAGUUCUAUCCGGGUCGAAUCUGGAUUAGUCGGGAAUCUAAUGUGGUCUUUGGAUACUAGAUGAUUUAAUGUACCAAUAAUAUUGGAACCAAACUAAUUUACAAUUAUGAGGAGGUUAUAAUUUAAUAGAGGCGUAGUAACAAACUAUUAAUAGAGUGUAUCAAAUUUAAUAUUGGAAUCCGAUGAUUGGUUGCAACAUAAGAUAUUUGUAAGCUUAGUUAAAGGUUCAUUAAAAAUUAUAGAGAUAUAUAAUUUCGCAGUCGAUGAAGCCGUGCAUGAGGUUAAGGCAAGUGAUGGAAUGACUUGCGUUACAAAAGAGGUAUGUGAAGUUGCACUAUAAAAAUAAAAUAAAUUUGUAUUUUCAAGUAGUGAAGGUGUAGUUAGUUUAUUUGCGGUAGCAGUUUCACAGCUGACAGAUGAACAAAGAGUGGUUGCUUGUCAAAUGGGCUUUGGUAGUUUGCGACAACUGAACCUUGGCAAGCUAAAAAGGAAACUUUGUGGCUAGUUAAUUGAGAUGAUUGAUACUUUGAGGUACAUUUUAGAGUUGAAUGGUAUUAGCUUUCAAACAAGAUCAUCAAAGAAACUCUACCAACUAGGAAAUUUAAACUUAAUCUAUGCUCCGCAAAUUCGAAUAUUCUCUAAUAUGAAACUACUUUUAUGUGUUUUAUUAUUCCUAGCUUUUACCGACUUGGUAACGUUGUUAUGGAAGCACGACAACUAUUAUGUCCGUGUAAUUUUUAUUGUAUCUUUUGUUAUGUCAUGAUAUCGAAGCUUAGUUUUAUGACUCUAACUACUAAGAACUGCAAUUGCAGCAUCUUUUGAAUAUUACAUAUGUGCUUGUAGUAUCUCGACGGAUUAAAACCUGCUAUUUAAGUUCUUCUACCCCCUCCCCCCCUUCAUUCUUUCAUUUAUACUUGCUGCACUAUUUACUUCGCACUCUGUAAAGCCAGAUGAAAGCUUGUUCAUUUAUGUUCACUUGCAAUUCAAAAGCACAGUUUAUUUCAACUGUCAAAUUGACAACUUGCACGUAUAGAUUUCAGUCGAAACAAGGUUAUUGGUCGAUCAAGAAAUUGAAUCCAUAUGGCCGUUCCAGCGUUAUUCAACUACCUAAUAUCAAAUAUAUAAAUUAAUUCAACCCACUUCUGUGUCAAAGGCAUGGAACAAAUUAUGAAAGAUUUUUCAGCUAUCAUAAAUUCGAACGAGUGUAGUUUGUAUCCUUUCGAACUUAGACAGAUUUUCCUUCCAUUAACCUUAUAGUGUUAGUAAUCCUAUUACUUGUUUUUAAAGCUUGAAUAGUAUACCGAAAUUUUUGGUUUUUGCAACAUAAACUUGUAUGUAAUGUACAUUUUAUAGUUCUUUACAAAUUAAUUGCUGCUAAAAUAAUUGUUUCGACUACUAUAUUUAUUGUUAUAAUAGAUAAACAUUUUCUUGCAACUCAAACAGUUCCAAUGGCAUGAUCUGCAUCCCCCGUUUGCCUCUUGGGCUACGAACCUGCUUAACAGCUGCACCAUCUUGCUCCUUUUCAUCAAACGGCAACUUCGCUGCAGACAAAAAGAGGGGGUACACUGCCCAGGGGCACCAUAAACGCAGCCCAAAAAGAUGAUUUUGUCUUUCCAUGUCUUAGUAUUUUAACCAAAAAUAAUAAUAAUAAUUCUUUACAUCAUCAAUGAUUGCACUUGUAAGCCAGGCAAUAGUUUUUUUAUUAAAUAAAAAAUUAAUGUUAAAUUUUUUUUUUUUUUUUUUUUUUUUUUAUCUAGCUAUCAUUGACUUAAUAUUUUGAAUCUUCAUCCAAAGUUAAGGCACAAAACUUUUAUUCUAAAUAAAUAUUCUCAAUAUAAAUUUAUCACUUAAAUAAUAAAUAAUAAGAUUUAACAUUAAUUCUGUCGUUACUGAAAUGAAUUGUAAAUUUUAUAUGACGUGUAAACGUAUCAUUAUGUUCUUGAUAUUUGACAUAUGAAUUAUAAAGCAACAAAUGUAUCAUAUUUUUAUUUCGGUAUUGUGCUUCUCCAUAUUUGCUUAAUUCUUUUCGUUGUACUCAUUGCUUCUCUUCCUCUUUUCGUCAACGACAAUGGGUAACCUAAUCUCAACCUUCUUACCAGCAGACUUAUUUGAUCGAAUUUCAAACUGCGUUGGUGAACAAGCAAAAUAUGUAUGGGGUCUCGAAAAAAAUCUUCGGAUCUUGGAGACUGAAUUGCACAAAUUGACUCGAGCAAGGGCCGAUCUGAAGACCAGGGUUGAGGUCGAACAACAACGACCUCGAACCAGACGAACGAACCAGGUCGCAGGGUGGCUUGAAGAUGUGCAAAAUCUGGAAACUGAAUUUGCCGAGCUGGAACGAGUCAGAGCUCAAGAAAUGGAUAGAUUGUGCCUUGGAGGCCUCUGUUCCAAAAACUUCGUUUUAAGCUACAAUUACGGGACUAAGGUGGUCGAGUUGACGGAUCGAGUGAUCAAUUUAAAGAAAGACGGAGAAAAAAUUGAAGUCGUUGUUGAGAAGGCGCCGGAUGGUGCAGCAAUUGAAUUACCUCUUGAUCACACAGUUGUUGGUCAAGAACUAUUACUUGGUCAAGUUUGGAGAUGUAUCACUGAUCAGGAAAAUAACAGGGGAAUUAUCGGCUUGUAUGGUAUAGGGGGAGUCGGCAAAACUACCCUUUUAAAACAAGUCAACAACAACUUCUGCCAUCAACAGCAUAAUUUUGAUGUUGUUAUCUGGGCGGCUGUGUCAACACUUCAAGAUGACAUUGGAAAAAGGAUUGGCUUUUCAGAAGACAGAAACUGGAAGGAAAAAAGUCUUCAAGACAAGGCUGUGGACAUCGCUAGCAUUCUAAGCGGAAAGAAGUUUGUGUUGUUAUUAGAUGAUAUAUGGGAGCCCAUUGAUUUAACACAGCUGGGUGUCCCUCUUCAAAAUCUAAAUGAUGGGUCCAAAAUAGUCUUGACAACUCGUUCAGCUGGGGUUUGCGAUCAAAUGGACGCUGAAAAGGUGGAAGUGUCUAGUUUGGCACAUGAUGAAGCCUGGAAAUUAUUUCAGGAGAUGAUCGAAAGAUCCACUCUUGACAGUCAUACCAGUAUUCCAGGGCUAGCCGAAACCCUGGCAAGAGAGUGUGGUGGGUUGCCGCUAGCGCUUAAAACAGUGGGUCGAGCCAUGAAAAGCCAAAGGAAAGUUGGAGAUUGGAAACGUGCAAUUCACAAAAUGACAACAUCAGCUUCUAAAUUCUCAGGUAUGAAAGAAGAGGUGUUUUCGCGUUUAAAGUUCAGCUAUGAUAGUUUGUCUACGGACGAACUUCGUUCCUGUCUCCUGUAUUGUUGUUUAUAUCCUGAAGACUACGAAAUUCCUAAAAGGGAAUUGAUUGAUUACUGGAUUAGUGAAGGAUUUGUGUAUGAUUUUGAUGAUGGAUGCGAUUUUAUUGAUGACCUUCUUCAAGCAUGCUUAUUGGAGGAAGAAGGCGAUGAUCAUGUAAAGAUGCACGAUAUGAUUCGUGAGAUGUCAUUAUGGAU
rnacentral:lncRNA from 1 species